rnacentral:rRNA from 1 species
UACGGGGGGGGCAAGCGUUGUUCGGAAUUACUGGGCGUAAAGGGCUCGUAGGUGGCCAACUAAGUCGGACGUGAAAUCCCUCGGCUUAACCGGGGAACUGCGUCCGAUACUGGUUGGCUUGAGUUUGGGAGAGGGAUGCGGAAUUCCGGGUGUAGCGGUGAAAUGCGUAGAUAUCCGGAGGAACACCGGUGGCGAAGGCGGCUUCCUGGACCGACACUGACGCUGAGGCGCGAAAGCUAGGGGAGCAAACGGG